AUAACUAUUAUUCCGAUUAGUCAAAUGAAGGCGUAACGUCCUGAAGGGCUAACGCGAUACCGAAUGGCAUGGAAGUAGGCAAGUACAGAAAUGUCAUAAGCUCGGUGUAAAAGUGGGAGCACCUACCGUAACAGAUAAAGCUGACGAAAGACAGUAGAGGUAUAUGUUGUAGGUCAUACUGCGAGUGUCCG
rnacentral:ncRNA from 1 species